AGAGUUUGGAUCCUGGCUCAGGACGAACGCUGGCGGCGUGCCUAAUACAUGCAAGUCGAGCGGACAGAAGGGAGCUUGCUCCCGGAUGUUAGCGGCGGACGGGUGAGUAACACGUGGGUAACCUGCCUGUAAGACUGGGAUAACUCCGGGAAACCGGAGCUAAUACCGGAUAGUUCCUUGAACCGCAUGGUUCAAGGAUGAAAGACGGUUUCGGCUGUCACUUACAGAUGGACCCGCGGCGCAUUAGCUAGUUGGUGAGGUAACGGCUCACCAAGGCGACGAUGCGUAGCCGACCUGAGAGGGUGAUCGGCCACACUGGGACUGAGACACGGCCCAGACUCCUACGGGAGGCAGCAGUAGGGAAUCUUCCGCAAUGGACGAAAGUCUGACGGAGCAACGCCGCGUGAGUGAUGAAGGUUUUCGGAUCGUAAAGCUCUGUUGUUAGGGAAGAACAAGUGCAAGAGUAACUGCUUGCACCUUGACGGUACCUAACCAGAAAGCCACGGCUAACUACGUGCCAGCAGCCGCGGUAAUACGUAGGUGGCAAGCGUUGUCCGGAAUUAUUGGGCGUAAAGGGCUCGCAGGCGGUUUCUUAAGUCUGAUGUGAAAGCCCCCGGCUCAACCGGGGAGGGUCAUUGGAAACUGGGAAACUUGAGUGCAGAAGAGGAGAGUGGAAUUCCACGUGUAGCGGUGAAAUGCGUAGAGAUGUGGAGGAACACCAGUGGCGAAGGCGACUCUCUGGUCUGUAACUGACGCUGAGGAGCGAAAGCGUGGGGAGCGAACAGGAUUAGAUACCCUGGUACUCCGCGCCCCCUCGACGAGUGCGAAAAUGAAAAACCCGUGGCGG
rnacentral:rRNA from 1 species